rnacentral:lncRNA from 1 species
CACCGGGAGGAACAAACAACUCCCUGACACACCACCUUUAAGACCUGUAACGCUCACUGCAAAGGUCUGCGGUUUCGCUCCUGAAGUCAGCAAGACCACGAACCCACCAGAAGGAAGAAACUCUGGAUGCAUCUGAACAUUGAAAGGAACAAACUCUGGACACACCAUCUUUAAGAACUGCAACACUCACUGUGAGGGUCCGCAGCUUCAUUCUUGAAGUCAGCGAGACCAAGAACCCACUGGAAGGAACCAAUUCCAGACAAAUUUUGGUGACCACGAAGGGACUAUCGCCUAUCGCCAAGCAGUGAGUACCAUCAGACCCCUUUCACU